GGGUGAGGAGCAGACACCAGUGUUUGUGCCUCUAAACUUCAGAGGACAGAUGUUAAUUUCUGCUGAGAAUUUCCUUAUGCAGUACUGGGUGCAGCUAUAAAUUUCUACAGCUCUGCCAAGGAUUUAUGUUAAUAGAAGCCAUCGCUUAACAUCUUGGGUCUCAACUUAGCUUUAAAAUAGGGAAGAUAAAAUCCACUUCAUAAAGUGGUAAAGUUUGAAUCAACUCACGUAAAGUACUUAGAACAGCAUCAGAAACACGGACACCUGGCUUGUACUUCAGGAGGGAAUCCCACAGGCUCCAGAUUAAAUUUUCUUCAAAUGUCUUCCCUUUCUCCAGCCAUGGUCACAAUGCCACUGACCACUGAGUGAAGACCUGUGAGUCCUUCUGCCAUGUGAGGACCUGGCAUUCUUCCUCUGUGGAGGACACAGCAUUCAAGGCGCCAUCUUGGAAUCAGAAUCACUAACCACAUCAAAGCCUAAUACUGGACUUCCCAACCUCCUAAACUAUGCUGAUUGUAAGGUCUACAGCGAUGUGACUAGAACCGUAGUCCACAGACUUCUGCUACGGCAUCCCGCAACUACGAUCGUCCCUCUGCCGAGAGAUCAGCCAGCUAGCCAAGUAAGAAAAAGGAAAACAGCAGAGCUGAUGGCCAAUUGGAGGGUCUUCAAGUGUCCCACUACCCUUUCCAUUCCAUGAUGGAGAAAUGAGGGAGAUGAAAGGAAGACCAAUUACCACUGGUAAUGGCUGACUACAGUGUGCAUUCAUUAUCCAAGUUAUCAUUACAAAUUACAUGGUAUUCUUCGUUACCUGAGGAAAGGAAUAUUUAAAGCAAGCAAACCCUCUACCAGCAAUAUUUGAUGAGCCCCAAGAGAAGAGCCCUCUGUCAAAGUGUUUUCAACACAGCCUCACCCAGUAGACAAAAUCAAAUGAAGAUCCCCAGGUCUCACUGGUACUUGUUUUCCCUGACGGUCUCCAGCUGAGAGCUGUGUGUGUGUGUGUGUGUGUGUGCGCGCGCCUUUGUGUGUGUGAAGCUAUGAAAUGAGAUAACUCCAUGCUUGAUGAAGCUGUAGCUUAGCUUAGAGAUCUCUUGUCUGCAGAUGUUUUAUCCAGGGCAGUUUACGUUGUUGCUUUUGGGCCGCAGUAGGUGAGUCAGCAUGGGAAGGACACAUCCCUUUAAUAAAUUGAUUUCAAGGUAUAGCUAUGAAACCUAUGCAUUAUUAGCCAUAUAUUUGUUACACAUACACAUACGUAUGUGUGUUGAUCCAGAGGUCUACACUUGUGCAAUGGCUGAAGUAACAACCAUAACAGUAUUGAUAUUUGCAAUUACUGUCCCCAUAACGGCAUGCAUGUAUACAUCUGUGCAUGUGCACCUGCGUGUGAUCACAUGAUGGUGGGGAGGGUGGACUUAUAUCAGGGACAGAAACUUAGGGACUAUCUAACAUAGAUGUAUUUUCAUUUAAUCUUCAUACCAAUAUGGAGACAUAGGUGUUAUUACAAAAUGUUAAAAUGAGACAAACAAUAAUUGAGGAAGUUAUUGUAAAUUGUUCAGAGUUAACUGAAAAGAAAAAGUCAUGACUUUUGGGUCCAGGUUUAUCUGAUAUAUCUUUGAAUUAUUUUAUUGUGUCUGACUCUGCUCAUUCUCAUGAGUUUGUUUAGAUAUUUAUACCAGUUUAUGAUCCGUUUUUAACCAAAUACUCUUCUCAAUCUGUCAGUCCUCCCCUGUCUGCAAGGCCCAGAUCAUCUGUCACCAGUUUGUGAAAGUUGACUUUAUUAUUCUGUUGAAAAUAAAUCUCUCUAACUUUCA
rnacentral:lncRNA from 1 species